rnacentral:rRNA from 1 species
GAUGAACGCUGGCGGCGUGCCUAAUACAUGCAAGUCGAGCGAACAGAUGAGGAGCUUGCUCCUCUGACGUUAGCGGCGGACGGGUGAGUAACACGUGGAUAACCUACCUAUAAGACUGGGAUAACUUCGGGAAACCGGAGCUAAUACCGGAUAAUAUAUUGAACCGCAUGGUUCAAUAGUGAAAGACGGUUUUGCUGUCACUUAUAGAUGGAUCCGCGCCGCAUUAGCUAGUUGGUAAGGUAACGGCUUACCAAGGCAACGAUGCGUAGCCGACCUGACAGGGUGAUCGGCCACACUGGAAGUGAGACACGGUCCAGACUCCUACGGGAGGCAGCAGUAGGGAAUCUUCCGCAAUGGGCGAAAGCCUGACGGAGCAGCGCCGCGUGAGUGAUGAAGGUCUUCGGAUCGUAAAACUCUGUUAUUGGGGAAGAACAAAUGUGUAAGUAACUAUGCACGUCUUGACGGUACCUAAUCAGAAAGCCACGGCUAACUACGUG